rnacentral:rRNA from 1 species
GAUGAACGCUGGCGGCGUGCCUAAUACAUGCAAGUCGAGCGAACGGACGAGAAGCUUGCUUCUCUGAUGUUAGCGGCGGACGGGUGAGUAACACGUGGAUAACCUACCUAUAAGACUGGGAUAACUUCGGUAAACCGGAGCUAAUACCGGAUAAUAUUUUGAACCGCAUGGUUCAAAAGUGAAAGACGGUCUUGCUGUCACUUAUAGAUGGAUCCGCGCUGCAUUAGCUAGUUGGUAAGUUAACGGCUUACCAAGGCAACGAUGCAUAACCGACCUGAGCGCGGGAUCGGCCCGGCUGGAACUGAGACACGGCCCGUACUCCUACGGGAGGCAGCUGCAGUGAAUCUACCGCAAUGGUCGAAAGCCUGACGGAGCAACGACGCGUGAGUGAUGACGAUCUUCGGAUCGUAAAACUCUGCUAUUAUGGAAGGACAUAUGUGUAAGUAACUGUGCACAACUUGACGGUACCUAAGCAGAGAGCGACGACUAACUUAGUG